CAGUCGCCGCGGUAAUUCGUAGGUGGCAAGCGUUGUCCGGAGUUAUUGGGCGUAAAGGGCUCGCAGGCGGUUUCUUAAGUCUGAUGUGAAAGCCCCCGGCUCAACCGGGGAGGGUCAUUGGAAACUGGGAAACUUGAGUGCAGAAGAGGAGAGUGGAAUUCCACGUGUAGCGGUGAAAUGCGUAGAGAUGUGGAGGAACACCAGUGGCGAAGGCGACUCUCUGGUCUGUAACUGACGCUGAGGAGCGAAAGCGUGAGGAGCGAACAGGAUUAGAUACCCGUGUAGUCCCUGUCUCUUAUAC
rnacentral:rRNA from 1 species